rnacentral:rRNA from 1 species
AAGGUCUUCGGAUCGUAAAACUCUGUUAUUAGGGAAGAACAUAUGUGUAAGUAACUGUGCACAUCUUGACGGUACCUAAUCAGAAAGCCACGGCUAACUACGUGCCAGCAGCCGCGGUAAUACGUAGGUGGCAAGCGUUAUCCGGAAUUAUUGGGCGUAAAGCGCGCGUAGGCGGUUUUUUAAGUCUGAUGUGAAAGCCCACGGCUCAACCGUGGAGGGUCAUUGGAAACUGGAAAACUUGAGUGCAGAAGAGGAAAGUGGAAUUCCAUGUGUAGCGGUGAAAUGCGCAGAGAUAUGGAGGAACACCAGUGGCGAAGGCGACUUUCUGGUCUGUAACUGACGCUGAUGUGCGAAAGCGUGGGGAUCAAACAGGAUUAGAU